UUUCUGUCAUGUACAUUAAACAUACCCAAGGUUUGAAAUGAUGAAGUCACCAUGUGUACAAAAAAAUCCCUGUAAUCCCUUCUGAGCACUCAGUUUCUGAGCGUUUUACUACUUUUGGGCACAGAAGCCCCGCCCAACUGAUGUUCAAGACUUUGGCUUAUGAGGGGCAGCCAAUCAGAAGAGCGUGGAGGAGAGGAGUUAAAGGGGCUGCGCCAAGCAGCAGUACAAGAUUAAUAAGGGUUAUUCUAACCUGUGAAUCAGGCAAAGCUACUCUGCAAAAGUCUAAGCGAAAUAGGUCCCCUUUAAGGAUCUGAGAAGAGUCUGUCAGUAAAGAAAAAAACUGCAAUCAUGCAAAGAUGGAAAAAAAAAACCACGUGUUUCACAGACAGGCAUUUUACAUCUCUGAAAAAAUAAAAUAUCCACCACUUUCAUCUGUUCCACAGUUAAAUAUUAAUAAGUUUUUAAUACUGAUAACACCACUGGACUCAUGUUGUAAACCUUUGACAUCGUGUCAAACGUCGUCGUGCUGCAUACAAAACUUUGGAUCAAAGCGCAUUUUUUUAUUGAUAAAUCAGCUACUACACGGGUGUGACCCCCUCCCACUCAAUAUGAGUUUACGUACACUGGGAGAUUCUCGUUCCAGACUUGGAAAACAAACGUAUUGCUUUUUAAAUGUAUAAACGGCGAAAAGGAGCUACAGACGAAACUGUGGGCAGCUAGCUAUGAAAUAAAGAUAUAGAUCGGACUUUACAGCUAAAAGAUGACUGGAUGAACUCGUCAGAGGAUUUGCUCAUACAGCAUACGGCGUUUUCUGCUCAUAAAACAUUACAUUUGCUCGAGGGUUUGGGUGUCAAAGACGUCUUUUUUUUUUUUUUUUAACUUGGCACUGCGACAGGAGGAUACGACCCCCCCGCUAUCAAACUUGGCAAUGAGACAGACUUUUCACUUUUUCGUCUUUGAUUUUCUUGGCACUGAAUCAGAAAAAUGUCUUUCUUACUUUCUUUCUUCAGGAAGAGGAAAAAAACAGGAAGGAGAAGAAAAGAGGAGGAGCUUGAGGGAGUCAAAGCUACAGAGUUAAACACAAAGAGAAGAUGGAUAAAAGAGUGUACACAAAAAAAGAUGAGAGACGACACAAAGGGCUCCACUGUUGCUCCCUUCAUCACCGCCUUCAUCAGCUUCCUCUCGCUCAGAGGGGAAGCCACCGAGUGUGUUUACGUGCACUGUAGUUAUUAAGGCAAUACUGCGACUCCUGAAACUGUCGCAUGAAAUCCAAUUAUUUGAGUUCUUCGUGAUCUGAGCAACAGUACAUGCAGACCAAGCUUCCCUCCUUUGAAACCAGACAUGUCUAUUUAUGGAUUUCUUUUACCUGAGCAAACGUCUUGGCUCAG
ensembl:lncRNA